CACGGAACCGCGUCCAUCACUGGGGUGAGCUGCCCGACGGCACCAGCGCUCCCCUGGAGGUUGUGCUGCAGGACAAGGUGUCCAGUGGCUUCUCCGGUGUGGUCCAGCUGCUGGAGUGACCAGGACCCACCAUCUUCUUUAACUGGAGCUGUCAAAUCUUUCAGCUUUUGUAUGUUUUUGUGGAUGGAUUCAGAAUGAUCAGACAGGUUCAUACAACACACAAUCCUUCACAUUCCUCACAACCAUGUCCAUAUGCCAGUGAAAGAAAAUCAACUGCAGCUCUAUUUUGAAGGGUAGCAUGCCCAACACUAUUAACAUCUGUCAGCAUAUCACUGAUUGCAGUGGAUGUGGCAUUAGUUUGUUUACUCAGCCAAGAUCCAACCUGAUCUAAUUGUUUCAAUGCCCUGGCUGAUUGGGGUAAAAACCUGCUGAAACCCUUUUGGCAGCAUUCCAAGGCAUGAAAUCACUCUUACAGUUUUCAUGGUAGUGAUGAGCAGAUCUUGUUCCCCUGUGUUUCUUCUUAAUGACUGCUUUAGCAGUAGGUGCUAUCACAGUGAGCAUUCCAGUGCUACAUGGGGCACCUUCAGGGUGUGAUGGGAUGCCCUGCCAAGCCCUAUCUCCACCAAUGAACCAACAUCCUUUUGGCAAUUGUCGUGGAUAUUGGUCAGCCUCGGAAAGCACAUCCCAACUGUUUGAAUAAUUACACCAAAACCUAGAAUUUCUAUAUGCAAAAUAAUGGGGAGUAACAUUGCACUUUGGAGGAUCACCUUCUUGCCAAUCAUUAGCUUCAAACGUAAGGCAGAAAUCCAUUGUUAAAAGACCAAGGAUUUCAAAUUCUUUGGGUUCAGGUCCUGCUUUGGGAAGUUCUUUGGUCCAAACGUUCCAAUCCACUACAGGAUUGCUCCAAUUGUCAAUAUCACCAGGCUUACUACUGAAUUGCUUUUUGACCAAGGGCAAAUCUUUUACUGGCACACUGACUAGACAUGUAGAGAAAAGCUUUUCUGGUUCCAAAUUAGACAAACUUAUGGUGUUUGAGCCUGCUGCCUGGUGGCUAAAGUCACCCAAACAUUUGGUUUUGGUUGUUCCGCUGGCAAAUCUGCACUACAAGAACCAAUUAAAACUAAGCAACACCAGUGUAUAAUUUGAUUUCAUUCCAUCCUUUUCAUGAGCUAAUUUUCGGCAAAAGAUCUUCCCAUAUAUAUCAAUUUAAAAACUUUGGUUUUGACUUUUCAUUAAAAUUUUGCCUUUGAAAGUCCAAUAGAGGGGAUCUGUAACAUAAGAAAAUAAAACCCAUGCCUUUGCCAAAAAAGCUCUACGAAACCAACAACUGACACAUUUAUAAAUAGCAUAAAAUCAGAGUUUGCAGGUUCCACUGAUGAACAAGGAACGUCAGGCAUGACCUGUGAUCCUUCUGUUUGGCUCACGUCUGCAUACUUGAAUGAAUUGUCAUAAUUGCUUUUAAUCAAGGAGAGUACAUUGGCUAUUUUAGGCUUGGAAAUUUUCCUUUGGUUUGAAGAGGAAAGUAAUAAAGUCUCUUUGGCCACCAUUGAUUUCACUGCCACUAGCACAGAGUUAUUAUUAUCGUGGUGGGUGUAUUUAUCAAGACCCCAAGGCCCCUUGCCAUUAUGAUUUUGGUCUAUUUUUGAUGGAUUCUGCAAGCUGAGGUUUGAGUAGUUCCAAGUCUGUGUCUUAUGUUUCUAACUGACAUCUUUCAAAAGCAGAAUGAGCUCUCUCAUUCUGGCUUGUCAGCGUUAGAGCUUGGUUCUGCAUGAACCACAUUGGAUAAUGUUCAUCUGAUGCCUGGCCAAAUUCCACUGUAAUUCCUUGGCCUGAGGAAUAUCAGGAAGACCUGCUGAGCUCCAUGAACACUGUCAGCUGCAUGGAAGAGAACAUCCUUGGCUUUACUGAAGAAACUGGAGCUCAGCUUAGGUUAGAUACUCUUGAGCAGGAGAAAGGCUGGAAUCAUUUUCCUGAGGCCUGUGUGCCCAGAGGGACUGAGAUCUGGGGAGCAGCUGGGUGUUUCUGCACAUGGAUGUAAGGGGACUGCCAGGCAGCUGAAGCCUUAACACAGGCAAACACUCCCCAAGUCUUCUCAGGCAACACUUUUCUUCGGGUUUCAAAUUGUUCCCACUUGUCUGUCUGUGAAGAUGCCCCUAAAACCACAACGCAAGCCUCUCAGAACUGGUGUUACAUUUCCAGCAAUGAAGAAAAGAAACCCAAAGCCAACAAAGUUUCUAAAACAAUGAUUUUUAGAGAGGAACUUAAUUCCCUGUGCUGGAAGGCUGGACAUGAGGGUGUAAAUGGCUCAGUCUCUUCUGCUUCUUUUCCAGUGCUGCUGAAACACCUAGUGACCGAGUUUUUUCUCAUAGCCCAAGCCACGUUCUCCACGUCACCAAGCCAGAGCCUGGUGAUGUGGAGAGCCUGCCAAAACCUCCUGUUUGUUUCCUGGCACUUUUUGGGAUGGGCCUACCAUUAAUGCAUUGACUUGAGUAGCCAAAUGAGCAGAGAGCGACCAUAGGGAUGGCACCUCUCCUUCUUCUGACCAUGGAAAGUUUUCUUUUGCUGCAUAAGGGAAGCUGAAAUUUUCCGACUGCUGAGAGUCGAGCUGCAGGUGUUUCCUGUGUGCCCAAGCAGGCAUUUUCAUCCCAAUACAUUUCUGCAGGCAUCUUAAUGUGUCUGUGUGGAAUUUGAGAUUUAAAUGUUUGUUUCCUUACCUGAGGAAUACCUGGUGGAUUUCCUUUCUUUCCUUCCAAUUACCAUUGUUUUCAAGAACAAAGGAGAGAACUUGAUGAGUUUUGUUUUAUGGCAGCUCUGCUUAAGGGACCAACAAGCACUGCAGAGAUGCCUUUCUUGUACUAAUCCUUGGAAAUAGCAGAGUUAGUAUAGCAAAGUCCCGCUUCCAAAAAGCCUAUCAAGCUGGUGUGAAUUCCCAGAGAAUCAAACGUGCUUUGCUGAUGUAGUUCCCACUUGUUAGGUCUGUCAUUGAAAUCAGCUGCCAAGGCAAGAUCUGCAGGAUGUUGGAAAAGCUGUGGGGUUUGGGUUUUUUGUAGGUGAAGGAAAGUCAUCUCUGGGUCUCUGCCAGGGCAGAAACUGCCACUGCAGAGUGGAGCUUAAACAAUGGGCUCAGGGAGAGCAGUUACAGAUGGGCAAAGCAGCAGGUGGAACCUCCCUGUUUCCUUUUUCCCCAGCCUCAAAUCCUGAUAGGCACAGGAGGGAAACUAAAGCUGCAGGAGCCCAAGAUGUUUUCACCUUGCCUGUGUGACUUCCUGAGCUGCUGCCUGCAGGCAGACGAGGCGCGGCGCUGGUCUGCCAAGGAGCUCCUGCAGGUAAAAUGAAAAGGGGCUGCAGGUGAAACAAGGUGUGAAGGAUGGGCUCCUCCUCCAUGGAAGUCCAAGGCAUCAGAUGAGCCCCCUUCCUCCUCAUCUCCACUCAUGGUGCUCUUCAAAUGGAAACAGUGAGAAAUCCUAGAGUGGGUUGGGCUGGCAGGGCCCUGUAAAGGUCAUCUGGUGCAAGUGUCCUGCAAUGAGCAGGGACAUCUUUAAAGAGAUCAGAUUGCUCAGAGCCAUUUUCCACCUGACCUGGAAUGGUUCCAGGGAUGAGGCACCUACAAGCUCUUGGGGACCCCUGUGCCAGUGUGGCAGAAUGUUCUAAGUAAACAAGUUCUACCUAAGACCUACUCUGAUUGCAUCCCCUUUGUGUUUAGAAAUAUUUCCCCACAUUCUGUUGUAACUGGCCCUGUUCAAAAAAGGUGUCCCCCACUUUCUUCAAAGCCACCCUGAAUUUUGGAAAAUGGCUAUAAAAUCUCCUUGGGCCUGUUCUUCACACAACUGAAUAACUCCACCUCUCUCUGUUUUUCCUGAAAGGAGAGGUGCUCUGUCCUCUGACUGUUUUCUGUUGCCCUGUUCUGCAAUUUGGUGGUGUGCCCCAUUUUAUCCAAUGGCAAAAGAAUUGAAGUAGAGCAAUGCAGGGUACAGAGACAUGAAAAGGUGGUGCAGGAACCCAAGGAAGCCAGGCCUGGCUGAGUGGUCAGUGAUUUGGCUGUGGGCAGGAGGGGCUGCGGGGGGCUCACUGUGAGCCUCUGAGGGGCCCUGGUUUGUGCCCACAGCCCACCCUUCGAGGUUUCUGGCACGCAAACAGGGAGAGCUGAGAGGGACUUGUCCCAGCCCCAUCUGCUGCCUGGCACGCUCAAACAGACAGGAACUGCCCCAGGGUUACUGCCAGCUCGUGUGGCAGAGAGGGAAGUGCAGCAGCCAGUGCCACUGGGCUGUCCCUGCUGGGAAGGAAGGUGCCAUCCAGCACAGGAGGGGCAGGGCAUGGAAAGGUAGACACUGCUCUGUCUCCCUGUGGGAAUCAGCCCAGUGCCUGUUGUUCAAAGACAAGGACCAAUGUGAGGCUUUGGAGUUUCCUGAAAAGAAGAAACUCCAAGGACUGAAAGCACCAUUUCUAGAGCACUGUCAGUGCAAAAAUCCCAGCAAGAUGAAAACACCUUCAUAAAAGGAUGAGUGGGAUUCUGGGCCAGGUUUGUCUGUGAUGGCAAGGUCUUGCACAUGAUGAUUGAGGUGCAGAUGGUCCAUCUUUCUGGAUCUUUCUAGGAGCCCUGUGAAUCCUGUGAAGCACUGAGUUUGGAAAGUCAUGGUUCAUUGACUUCUCUUGAUUUUCUUUUUUCCUUUGUGCAGCAUCCAUUUAUAACAUCUGCUGAGCCUGCAUCCAGCCUGGUGCCACUGAUUGUUUCCUUGAAGAAGAGGAAGGAGACAAGAAAGUGAAAAUCACAUCAGCACCACUUGUUUCUCAACCAGCUUAGAGCAGGAUUGUAGGUUAGGACAAGGUUAAGGGUUAGGGCUUGGUUAGAUUUAGGCUUGGUUUAGGCUUAGGUUUAGGCUUAGGCUUAGGUUUAGCCUUAGGCUUAGGCUUAGAUUUAGGCUUAGGCUUAGGCUUAGGUUUAGGCUUAGGCUUAGGCUUAGGACUAGGUUUAGGAGUAGGUUUAGGACUAGGGUUACAGUUAGAGUUAGUGUUAUGACUAGCUUUAGGUUUAGGGUUAGUGUUAGGGUUAGCAUUAGCAUUAGGGUUACAACUAAUCUUAGGGGGUUAGGGUAUGAUUGUCUAAUAGGUCUGCUGAGUAGGAUUUGAAAUUAAUAAAAUUUUUAAAACCAAAA